GGGGUACUGUUUUACUCGGAAGACUUCGCUGUACACAAAUAUUAGUGUUUCAAAACAGUAAAACAUAUCACAACGAUGAUAUUCUCAGUGAUAGUGCGGUUUUUUUGUGUUUUUGCAUUUUUUACACACAAACGCCACUUUGACUUACUAUAUAAUUGUUGUGAUAAGCUUUACUGUUUUGAAACACUAAUAUUUGUGUUCCA